UCUCUGGCUCGCUGGUUCCCUUAUGGUUCUAGUUUGUUCCCAGUGUAGGUUUGUCAGUCUCUAUUGUUGCCUUGGUUCAUUUUGUCUCUUCAUGAUCAGCUUAAAUAAGUACUCACUUUUCAUCAUUCUUACCUGCCGUCUCCUGAGUCCUGCACUUGGAUCCUGACCUCCGUACACAGCCCGGUCACGCACAGUGACGCUGAUGGUGAAAUGAGGGAGCUUCUGAUAUGUCUGCUGGUUCAGGCGGUUCGUGGACACUUGUGUGUCUCACAGGGAUGCAACUAAAACAAAAAAGGAGUAUAACCCACAGAUAACCGCAGGCUGUCAGUCAGGUUGCCAGCCAGGUGUAUGGCCAGCAUGGAGGAAGUGGAGUGAUUUCAUCCCGCACUCAAACAGCAAACACUUUAGACAUGCCAAGCAAACAGAACUCCCAGCUUUCCAGUGGACGCACACAUUCUUCCCAGAUCUGAGUGGCUAGCCUGGGUGCAUUUAACUUUACUUGCACUCUGCCUUACAUAAAUAAAACUGUCAGCAUGUUAUUUUUAGCUUGUCACUCGGUUAGUGCCAUUUAAACCUCUGAUAUGAAGCGCUGGAAUUACCCUGCUG